UUCACUGUUUUUAGAAUUCAAUAACUACAACAUUUGUCCAAAAGUCAACGAGUAACCGUGAUCAGGGCUCAUUAGACCC